UGCUUACACAUGCAAGUCGAACGGCAGCGCGGGGCGACCUGGCGGCGAGUGGCGAACGGGUGAGUAAUAUAUCGGAACGUACCCUGGAGUGGGGGAUAACGUAGCGAAAGUUACGCUAAUACCGCAUACGAUCUAAGGAUGAAAGUGGGGGCUUCGCAAGAACCUCAUGCUCCUGGAGCGGCCGAUAUCUGAUUAGCUAGUUGGUAGGGUAAAAGCCUACCAAGGCAUCGAUCAGUGGCUGGUCUGAGAGGACGAUCAGCCACACUGGAACUGAGACACGGUCCAGACUCCUACGGGAGGCAGCAGUGGGGAAUUUUGGACAAUGGGCGCAAGCUGAUCCAGCAAUGCCGCGUGAGUGAAGAAGGCCUUCGGGUUGUAAAGCUCUUUUGUCAGGGAAGAAACGGUAGAGGCUAAUAUCCUGUGCUAAUGACGGUACCUGAAGAAUAAGCACCGGCUAACUACGUGCCAGCAGCCGCGGUAAUACGUAGGGUGCAAGCGUUAAUCGGGAUU
rnacentral:rRNA from 1 species